AGAGCGAACGCUGGCGGCAUGCUUAACACAUGCAAGUCGCACGGGUAGGGGAAACCCUGUCAGUGGCGGACGGGUGGGUAACGCGUAGGUAUCUAUCCUUGGGUGGGGGACAACGGCUGGAAACGGCUGCUAAUACCGCAUGAUGACCGAGGUCUAAAGGCGCAAGUCGCCUGGGGAGGAGCCUGCGUACGAUUAGCUUGUUGGUGGGGUAAAGGCCUACCAAGGCUACGAUCGUUAGCUGGUCUGAGAGGAUGAUCAGCCACAUUGGGACUGAGACACGGCCCAAACUCCUACGGGAGGCAGCAGUGGGAAUAUUGGACAAUGGGCGCAAGCCUGAUCCAGCAAUGCCGCGUGUGUGAAGAAGGUCUUCGGAUUGUAAAGCACUUUCGACGGGGACGAUGAUGACGGUACCCGUAGAAGAAGCCCCGGCUAACUUCGUGCCAGCAGCCGC
rnacentral:rRNA from 1 species